rnacentral:rRNA from 1 species
AGUUCGGAUUGCAGGCUGCAACCCGCCUGUAUGAAGUUGGAAUCGCUAGUAAUCGCGGAUCAGCAUGCCGCGGUGAAUACGUUCCCGGGCCUUGUACACACCGCCCGUCACACCAUGAGAGUCGGGAACACCCGAAGUCCGUAGCCUAACCGCAAGGGGGCGCGGCCGAAGGUGGGUUCGAUAAUUGGGGUGAAGUCGUAACAAGGUACC